UAGGGAAUCUUCCGCAAUGGACGCAAGUCUGACGGAGCAACGCCGCGUGAGUGAAGAAGGUUUUCGGAUCGUAAAGCUCUGUUGUUAAGGAAGAACGAGUGUGAGAAUGGAAAGUUCAUACUGUGACGGUACUUAACCAGAAAGGGACGGCUAACUACGUGCCAGCAGCCGCGGUAAUACGUAGGUCCCGAGCGUUGUCCGGAUUUAUUGGGCGUAAAGCGAGCGCAGGCGGUCAAUUAAGUCUGAUGUGAAAGCCCCCGGCUCAACCGGGGAGGGUCAUUGGAAACUGGUUGACUUGAGUGCAGAAGAGGAGAGUGGAAUUCCAUGUGUAGCGGUGAAAUGCGUAGAUAUAUGGAGGAACACCAGUGGCGAAGGCGACUCUCUGGUCUGUAACUGACGCUGAGGCUCGAAAGCGUGGGUAGCAAACAGG
rnacentral:rRNA from 1 species